ensembl:snRNA U1 U1 spliceosomal RNA
AUAAUUACCUGGCAGGGGAGAUACCAUGAUCAUGAAGGUGGUUUUCCCAGGGCCAGGUUUAUCUAUUGCACUCCGGAUGUGCUAAACUCUGCGAUUUCCCCAAAUGCAGGAAAAUCCACUACAUAAUUUGUGAUAGUGGGGGAGUGCAUUCGCGCUUUACCCCG